rnacentral:lncRNA from 1 species
ACCUGAACUCGAGAAUGGGGAGAAAACUCGCCCAUUUUCGGUCUGAGGGGCUUUUAUAGGUGGCCAGCCAAACCUCCUUCGGCGGCCUAACGUGCAUGCAAAACACCCCCAUGUUCGGCGGCCGAACUUGAGGUUCGGCGGCCGAACCUGGUUUGUUCAAACAUAGCUUUCGGAGGCCAAAAGCACUUCCGAAACCAACUCAUGUUCGGCGGCCGAACUUCACUUUCGGCGGCCGAACCUGGCAAAAACCUCCUUGGUCUUUUCUUUUCAAAACUCACUUCUUUUUCAUUUAAAACCAAGAAAUCAGUAAAAAUCAUUUUAGAAAUCACAUUUUACCCCUCUAGAAAACUCUG